AUUAAGCCCAAUAAAAUUUACUAAAAUUGUUGUUGAAAAUAAAAUAAGAUCAAGCCCAAUUUAAAAUACAAGUCCACUUAAACAUAACUAAAAUAGUUUAUGUAAAAGUGUAACCAGGCCCGUAUUACUUUUUAAAACAUAAAAUCCAUUUGAAAAAAUAAGCCCAGCAUACUUGUCUUAGGAAAAGCACUGGCCGAAUGGGCUUAGGGCCCAAAGGCCCGUUAUGAAACAAACAAUCUAGAGAUUUAGAACCCAUGGAAACAAAACAAAAAGAAAAAGCUCGUGCAAUAAUAGAGGAACUCACCGAGAGAGGGAGAAGGCCACUGUGAUGGUGGUCUGGGUGGCUAGCGGCGUGGCUGGGUUCCUGGGCAGGGGUGGUGUGAUGCCAGAGAGAGAGAGAGAGAGAGAGAGAGAGAGAGAGAGAGCAACUGUUAGACCGAAAACAACCCAAAACAACCAAAAAUUACCGAGAGGGAGAGGAGGCUGGCGGCGGUCGUGGGCUUACCGGAAGGGAGUGGGUGCGACGGGACUAGGAUGGCCGGCAGUUUCUGGCACCGUGGGUGGUAUUCCGAUGUCUUCUGUGGUGGACUCUGGGGAAGCAAGUGGUUCGGUUGCUCUGUUUCGAAAGUGCAAAACAGAGGGUUCUGCCUUCACUCCAU